MUCUUGCGCUCCCGGGAUAUGCCUGGGAGCAUGCUUGUCGGGGAGGAGGAGGCGAAAACUCGCCCACAGCUUUGGGUUCGAUCUCGACCUCAAGGCGGUGGAGCGGAAUAUGAGUGUUCCGGGGAGCGGUAGUGCGGUGUGUAUUUUUGUACAUGCCUCCUGCUCGUCCCCUGAGUCCACCCAAGCCUAGAGAGCUACCGAUUGUCCGGGCCUCAUUGCCUUUGCGGCGCUGUAGACAGGUCCACCUUGCGUCCUCCGGAAGAUCCGCUGUUGAUACCUUCGCAACCUCGCCCCCUCUCGCGGGGCGGGGCAGGGCGAAGGAGACACUGACGCCGGGGAUGUGCGCGGGUUACCUUGAGGCGUCGCUGGAGGCAAGUUCACCUUGCGUCCUCCGGAGGAUCCGUUGUUGACGGCGCCCCCUAUCGCGGGGCGGGGACACAACGGGUCGCCGGGGAUGUGCGCGGGUGUCCUUGAGGCUUGGGACGGUAGGUAGUCUCGAGAGUACCGGUGAGAGGCCGGUGAUUAUGAUKAUGCCMUACCCCCGAUCAAGCAAGAAGACCCGCUGAAUURAAGCAUAUACUA
rnacentral:misc_RNA from 1 species